rnacentral:rRNA from 1 species
CCUACGGGAGGCAGCAGUGGGGAAUAUUGGUCAAUGGGCGUAAGCCUGAACCAGCCAAGUCGCGUGAGGGAUGAAGGUUCUAUGGAUCGUAAACCUCUUUUAUAAGGGCAUAAAGUGCGGGACGUGUCCCGUUUUGUAUGUACCUUAUGCAUAAGGAUCGGCUAACUCCGGGCCAGCAGCCGCGGUAAUACGGGGGGUCCGAGCGUUAUCCGGAUUUAGUGGGUUAAACGGGUGCGUAGGCGGCCUUUACGUCAGCGGGGAAAGUCAGUGGCUCAACCUUAGAAUUGCCGUUGAAACUGGGAGGCUUGAGUAUGUUUGAGGCAGGCGGAAUGCGUGGUGUAGCGGUGAAAUGCUUAGAUAUCACGCAGAACCCCGGUUGCGAAGGCAGCCUGCCAAGCCAUGACUGACGCUGAUGCACGAAAGCGUGGGGAUCAAACAGGAUUAGAUACCCCUGUAGUC